rnacentral:misc_RNA from 1 species
GACUAGACAGUACUGGAUACUGUGAAAGCGUACGGAUCCGAUUUAUUUUGUUUGACAAAACGCUGCCGUAUAUAAUGGAUCCCAGAUAGCGGGAUCGAUAUUGGUAAUCGAGAAAGCGUUCAUCAUGAUGCACUCUACUUCCAAGUUACAUUUCCAAUGCUUCCUUCCAGGUACACGAGUCGUUUUGUACGUUCUGUCGUGCACCUAACCUGCCUUACUGCGUUCGCAAUAGCUGCUAGACCGCUGGUGCGGAUGCAGCACGGAGACGGAACGGCUAUGCCAUAGCAAUGAGGGUGUCGGCUCGAAGCCUGGUUCACCUGAUACGGGGUUGGGGUUCAUGAUCAUUCUGGGAGCUUGGAAACUGUGCGGACAGACCUAAUGCCCGCAUCAGCGCGAAGCGAUAUACCAUCAGGCCACUGCAGUCGGGGCGACAACCGGAUGCAUUCUUCCCGCUCCUAAUCCCAGAAUAAUCUGCGUCUCAAACGAGUUGUCCAUGGAUGGUCACAGCACCCGUCAUAGGGUGGAGCGUACAGCACGAGCCGCACAGACCCGUCCAGCUCACGCGACCUUCCGCGUAGAAGGUGGGCUUUGGGAAACACGGAACAGUGUUCCCACUCCCAACGCUCACCGUAGACGAGGAACGAUGUUGCUAUUUCGUUGCUACCCAGUGAUUAGUUUCUGUUCUUUCGACACAGUUACAGCUAGUAAGUCGUUCGUUUCUGUAGUUUUAUGCGCUCGCCCAUAGAAAAGAGCAACCGCACUGAUCCGAUGCUUGGGGUAGCCACGUGCCUGCUGCAUGGGUCAACCUUUUCCGUGCAGCGGAUCCAUACCGGGCAUACAAAAGUCCUGGCGUGACUGAAUCGAGACCAAGUCUCGUUUUUUUACAUACUGGUAUGGAAGAUAUUGUUGGCUGCGUUCGGAUGUGUCAAUGCUGCGAGUAACUGGGCUAGGAACUCGCCAUCAGCUGAUCAUCCCAUAGAUCCCAAACUGAAAUCCAUUGGUAUGCGGCGAAUCUGCCUGCAUGACCGGUGACGGAGAACGUAGUCGCCGACCUCGAUGCCCGCCAAGACGCUCACGCUGGAACGAGCGUGGUAUCCUCUAAAGCUGGCGGCAAGCGGUUCUUUCGGGCAAGCCCCGCCACAAGUUGCGAUCAGCCUCAGCGCAGUGCCUGUAUCCAGUCGUGAGAGUCGGUUCCGAAGUACCACUCGCUCGCAGUAACCCGAAACUGAGUGCACCUUCACCAGAACAGGAAACUUGUAAAAGUUGCUGAGUUUCGAACAGCGAGCAACGUGAAACGCAGCGCAGCCGAAUAGGUGCAUGUGCCACACACACACACACACGUGCAGAGUCGUUGAUCGAAGAUUUGGAAGCGUUGCGCUCCUCUCGCUCGAUGUCUUGCCUUCCUAGAAGUGUAUCAAGCAUGCCCCACCGCCAUCAUCCGACGCAUGGAGCCAUUGUUCGAGACGCAGCGUGGCAGCGCUGAGCCCUUUCGGCAAAUGCCGCGCAGCUGGAGGCAAGUUUGUUUGCCAAUCACCAACAAGCUACAGCGACGCACCACGAACGAGGUCUCGUCAUUGCGAUAACAGUCCCUGCAGAUAGAUGCUCGAUUGGUUCCGUCGUCAUUCCUCGCAGCAACCAGGCUCCAGCAUGAUCUGGCGAGCCCCACGGGCAGCGUACCGUGUCGAAUGUGGUCGCAGCAUUAGUCGAUCUCGUCCCAGAGGUCCGGGCUCGCGUCGACAUCUACCCAUUGCCGCUGAACGCGUUCGGCGAAUACGGUGGCCAAAUACUCGCCCGGGUGACCAUACAAUUCACCGGUAUUCGCCUUGCCCCAACUGAGAAUAAAUUCCGGAUACUUGUCCGGCAAACCGGCAUUUUCGCGCUGACGCCGCAUGAGCUCCAGGUAGGGGUUCACAGAAACCAAACAGUAACCUUCAGCGCGCAACUUUGACGGGAACCGCAACCGCAGCCGCUCUUCGAGCCUCCUCGGGACAAAGUCGCCAACCAGAUAAACA